AAUCGAAGGAAAACAACCCGAAGGCUUCGUGCAAAAAAAAACUUUGGGGAAGUCAACUUUGCAAAAAAAUCCUUUUUUGUGCAAUUAUUUAGUUAGUUAAUUAAUUUUCCAGCCUUGUACUCACAUCUGCAGAGUCUUGGCUACGUGGCAUGCUUACAGGGUGGGGCGUAUAAGGGUUUUAGUGCAUGAAAAAGCUGAAAGAGAUAAACGUUUGACAACAUAACCCCAAAAGAUGGAUUCGUCGGAUGUGUCGUCCCCGGAUGUGAAGGUUAAGUCAUCGGAGGAGAAGCGGAAGAAGCACAAGAAGCAUAAAAAGCACAAAAAGGCCGGGAAGGUGGAUCGUGCGGAGAAGGGGGAGAAGGUGAAGAAGCAUAAGAAGCACAAAAAACGAAGGAGAGAAGAGGAGAGCAUCCGGGAAGCUGUGCCCGUUGUUGUGCUCGACGAGGAGCCAGUGCGGAAGAAGAUGGUGGUGGAGAAGUCCAAUGGGCACUCGGUGAAGGGGAAGAAGGCCAAAAUCCCCACGGACCCGUCGAAGCUCGUGGAGAUUAUCACGAAGAGCUUGGACCCAACGUCUGGACCAGCGCUGGAGAUUGUCUCCUCGGAAUCUGACGACACAGAAGGUUUGGUGGAAGAUUGCGCCAGUCCGGAUGUAGCUGUAAUUGAGGACGAUCUCAACUUGGAGGAGUUGAUGAAGCAGAAGGCGCUGCUGCAGGCGCGUCUUGGGGCCUACCUCUCCGAUUCAGAGCUGGAAGAUGGACGCAUUAGUAAGGCACAAAGUGGUGAGAAAGAUGGUAAAGGCAAAACAGAAUCAGAUGUCAUUUUAUUGGACGAUUCCAGUGGUGAAGCGAUCGUGAAGGUCGACAGUGCCCCCAAAAGGCAUCGCAGUCGGUCGCAAAGCCACACGCGGAAGGUGCCGGAACGUCGUCGCGACGAUCGGGCCCCUGCUGAGGCGUCACGCUGGCGUGACCGUGGCCGGCGGGACAAUGAGAAUCGCCACAAGGAGGAUCUCCGGCGUGAAUUGGAGCGCGAUCGGGAGCGAAGCUUCCGUGAACGCGAGCGUGUGCGGCGCCACGAACGGCAGGAGAUGGAGCGCGCACGCCAGCAAGAUCGUUCACGCAAUCGUGACCCGUACGCCGGCCGUAGGGGCAGGAGUCACGAGAGGCGCGACAGGACCCCACCGGAUCGCUAUCGCAAUCGUCCGGGAGCGCGGGAGAGGGAACAGCGCGAGAGGCGCGAGAAGGAGGAGCUGAAGGACAAAUACAAGGAUUCCCUGAGCGAGGGGCAGAUUCAUCCGCGGAAUCGCAAGGAAUCCAGCAGUGAGAGCGAAAUGGGGGAUAUUGACAUAAAGGAUGACGAUGAGGAUGAGGAGAAGAUCAUCGAGCAGCGAAGGAAGCGUCGUGAGGAGCUACUUAAGAAACUGGGAGCUGGUAGUGAGGACAGCAAUCCAGCAUCACGUGAACCGUCAGUGAGUCACAAUGCAGCUGAGACAACGCCAAAAAUGAUGACGAUGAAAUCCCCUCCGGAGACGCCGCGGCAACAACAGAAGAGCUUCAUUGAGCCAGAUGUGAAGCCCAAAACGACUCCGCCAAAGCCACCACAGACCGCAGAGAAGGAUGCAGACAUUGAGGAUUCGCUGACACCACCAAUUCCACCCACACGGAAGGAUUUGCAGGCAAUUGUGCAGGAGAAGAAGCUGAUGGGGGGAGAUGUGAAGCGCCCAGUGAAGGAGAAUAACGUGAAAAGGGGAGAAUGGGAUAUGUUUGCCGAGCAGGAUAUUGCAUCGAACUACGAUAGUCCCAAUACAGUUGUUGCCAGUAAGCAGAUACAGGAAAAUCCAGCGCUCACGGACAACUGGGAUGAUGCUGAGGGUUACUACCGUGUGCGCAUUGGGGAGACGCUGGACAAUCGGUACAUUGUGUCGAGCUACACGGGCCAGGGGGUGUUCAGUAAUGUCGUCAGGGCACGUGAUCAAGCCAGGGGGAAUGUCAAUGUUGCCGUGAAGAUUAUCCGGAACAAUGAGAUCAUGCACAAAACAGGCUUGAGGGAAUUGGAGAUCCUCAAGAAGCUCAAUGAUGCCGAUCCGGAUGACAGAUUCCACUGCCUUCGACUCUUCCGGCACUUUUUCCACAAACAGCACCUCUGUAUGGUGCUUGAGCCACUCUCAAUGAACCUCCGGGAAGUGCUGAAGAAAUAUGGGAAGAAUGUGGGGCUACACAUUAAGGCUGUACGCAGCUACACGCAGCAACUCCUCCUGUCGCUGAAGCUCCUCAAGAAGACGGGAAUCCUCCAUGCGGACAUCAAGCCUGACAACAUCCUGGUGAAUGAGAGUCAUUUAAUACUGAAGCUGUGCGAUUUUGGGUCGGCGUCUGUCAUUACAGAUAAUGAGAUUACUCCGUAUCUCGUGUCAAGAUUCUACAGAGCCCCAGAGAUCAUCUUAGGCAUUCCGUAUGACUAUGGGAUUGACAUGUGGUCAGCUGGGUGCACAAUCUACGAACUCUACACGGGAAAGAUUCUCUUCAGCGGCAAGUCCAACAAUCAAAUGCUUAAGUUCUUCAUGGAUCUCAAGGGGAAGUUCCCGAAUAAGGUCAUCCGUCGUGGGCAGUUCAGGGAUCAGCAUUUCGAUCAGAACUGCAACUUUCUCUACCAUGAGAUUGAUAAAAUCACAGAGAGGGAGAAAAUCGUGGUGCAGUCAGUGAUAAAGGCAACGCGGGAUUUACAGCAGGAAUUGAUUGCUGAUCAAAAUUUGCCGGAUGAUCAGCACAGGAAGGUGACGCAGCUGAAGGAUCUCCUCGAGAAGCUCUUUGUGUUGGAUCCAGCAAAGAGGAUCUCACUCAAUCAGGCUCUCGCGCAUCCCUUUAUUCAAGAUAAGAUGUGAACAAGAAUAUUAUCAUUUUUUCCGUGAGAGGCAUCGUCGCACAGCACGCGCAGAUGGGGGUGGUGUGAGUGUGUGUGCUUUUAGUGCCGAUCCCGUUAAGACAUUAACGUUUGAGGCAUGGCUCAAGGAUUGACUGGGAAGCACACAGGUGCCGGAAAGUCCUUACAUGGAACCCUCAAGAGACAGUUAAAGAAAGCUUCUCUGGAGGAUAAAUUGUGAUUUGUUCCUCAGCUUGAAGAAGACAAAAAAAACAAAUCAAUUUGGUAGAAGACUCAAUCUGUCAUCAGCUGGUAGCUCAAUGAUGUCUCUGAUGGAAUUGCAUUCCUGAAGCGUUGGCAGAGAUUCCUGCUGUGUGCUUCUCAGCUCAAUCUUCAGGUGUUUGCAUUUCCAGUGAUUUGGGCCCGCAGAGGGAUCCUGCACAAGGCCAAAGGCACUCUCGAACACACCCACCCAUCGAUUGCCAAUGUGGAGGGUCCCACAGGCAACCACGAGGACCAAUCCGUGGGGGCUGAUGCGUCCCUGAACACCUGCAUGCUGGACAUUUGGGUUGAAGGUGAAAUUGUACGUUUGUCGUGUACUGAGGAGCUUCUCGAGAACACCUUCCCGCCCCUCGGCACUCUCAUCCGUUACAGAGUCAUUCUGUACGAGGCGUAUGGCGCAGAAGGCAUCUGGCCAGAGAUCCUCCUGCGUCAGGGAGCUCGUGUUGAGUUUCUUGUAGAACCACGAAGUAAAUUCGCGCGAAAGGACAUUCACUGGGGCUUCUUCGGGAUGUUUUUGGGGGGUGCGUUUGAGAGCAUUCUCGUGUGUUGUGGUGGUGCUUGGGGGGCUCAGUGCCUCCUGGGCGGGGGUUGUGAUGUAUUUUGUCUUCCAAUAGGCGAGUAUUUGCUGUAUAAGCCCCUGUUUGGUGGCAUUUUGCGACGACAGGGCGCCCUUUGACAUUAAAUACGUUGCCAGAA